rnacentral:rRNA from 1 species
UGAGGAAUAUUGGUCAAUGGGGGCAACCCUGAACCAGCCAAGUUGCGUGAAGGAUGAAGGUCUUAUGGAUUGUAAACUUCUUUUACACGGGAAUAAAGUGGGGGACGUGUCCCCCUUUGCAUGUACCGUUUGAAUAAGGAUCGGCUAACUCCGUGCCAGCAGCCGCGGUAAUACGGAGGAUCCGAGCGUUAUCCGGAUUUAUUGGGUUUAAAGGGUGCGCAGGCGGGAUGUUAAGUCGGCGGUGAAAUUUUGCAGCUCAACUGUAAAAGUGCCUUCGAUACUGGCCUCCUUGAGUGUGGAUGAAGUAGGCGGAAUUUGUGGUGUAGCGGUGAAAUGCUUAGAUAUCACGAGGAACUCCGAUUGCGCAGGCAGCUUACUAAGCCACAACUGACGCUCAUGCACGAAGGCGUGGGGAUCAAACA